CUGUUACAUUGGGGACAAAGUCUAAGCAUUUCUUUAAAACGCUCCCAAACAUCAAAAGGAGAUUCCCCAUCUUUCUGAGUGAAUCGUGUGAUCUGAUCCCUCAAUUU
rfam:Medicago truncatula strain A17 chromosome 6, whole genome shotgun sequence.